rnacentral:misc_RNA from 1 species
AACCAUAGAAACCUGCGGAGUACCUGCGGAGGGAUCAUUACCGAGUGAGGGCCCUCCGGGUCCAACCUCCCACCCGUGUUUAACGAACCUUGUUGCUUCGGCGGGCCCGCCUCACGGCCGCCGGGGGGCACCCCGCCCCCGGGCCCGCGCCCGCCGAAGACACCUGUGAACGCUGUCUGAAGUUGCAGUCUGAGACACUAGCUCAAUCAGUUAAAACUUUUAACAAUGGAUCUCAGAUCG